rnacentral:lncRNA from 1 species
CCUGAAUAUGUGCAUGGUGGUUUGGUUUUGUUUAAACAUUUGCUUGGCAAGGCAGAUUUAUUUGGUUUCACUUUAAAGGCUUAGCACUUUCCAACUAUUUUUCCAGGGCUCUUUCCAGUUUUCUCUGAUUACACCUAAAGAUAUCAUAGUCAUUUUGUCAUUUUGCUAUUUACCCAUAACAAGGAUAAACAAAACAUAGUGAUAUGCAUUAGAGGAACAAAUAGGUGAAAAAAAUCCCCAAUUAAUAAGGAGGAUAGAGGAGUUUCUGUCAUGACUCAGUGGUUAACAUACCCGAGUAGGAUCCAUGAGGAUAUAGAUUCGAUCCCUGGCUUCGCUCAGCGGGUUAAGGAUCUGGCAUUGCCGUGCGCUAUGGCAUAGGUCGCAGAUGCGGCUUGGAUCUGCUGUUGCUGUUGCUGUGGCUGUGGUGUAGGCCAGCGGCUAUAGCUCUAAUUCGACCCCUAGCCUGGGAACCUUCAUAUGCUAUGGGUGCAACUCUAAAAAGACAAAAAAAAAAAAAAAAAAAUGAGUAUAGAAUGUUUAUUUUUGUACCAGGAGAUCUUCUUUGGGAGAGAAAUGGACUUGGAGUGUUGAAAGAUGAUGAAGUUAAUACCAAUAUCCAGUUGUAAUUAUAAUGCUCUACUGUUACAUACACGUCCUACUUGGUGCCUAGUACAUUUUUUUCAUAAUCUAAUCUAUCACUGAGGUUGCUUCCCAUCUGUUUUGGAAAGAGUUGGUGUGUAAAUAUUCAUAAUCAAAACACACACUCAAAUCUGAAGCUCAAUUGAAAUAGUAGAUAUUGAGGAGUUAUUUGUGAUAAAAUUUGAUGUUGCCAGGCAGCAUUAAAAUAUCUUAGAGUAAAUGUGUCAUGCUGAAGAACCUUAGGUUUUAGAGUCAAGACGUGCUGCCAUUGAACACGGGGUCCUGUGAACCUUAGGUUUUAUUUAGUUAUUUAUUUAUUUUUGCUUUUUAGAGCCGCACACACGGCACAUGGACGUUUCCAGGCUAGGGGUUGAAUUGGACCCUACACCACAGCCACAGCAACACUGGAUCUGAGCCAUGUCUGCAACCUACACCACAGCUCAUAGCAAUGCUGGAUCCUUUACCCACCGAGCAAGGCUGGGUAUCGAACUCGCAUCCUCAUGGAUACUAGUUGGGUUCAUUACCGUUGAGCCACAGUGGGAACUCUGAGCCUUUGGUUUUUAAAUCAGUAGGUUUUUUUUUUUUUACUGAUCUUUGAUCUUCCUUUUUUAAAAUUAUUAGUAUUAAAGUAUAGUUGAUUUACAAUGUUUCUUCAAGUUCUCUUGUACAGCAGAGUGGCCCAAUCACACACAUUUCCUGUGCUGUACAGUCUUCAAAUGUCAUCCACAGUGUUAUCCUCUGGGCUGAAGGUUCCUUCUCUGCUGUCAGACCUCAGCUCUGUAAGGCUGUCUCAUGUAACCUUUUCACAUAAAGGGAAAAUAAGUCUCCACAGCAUCGUAUGCCUUCCGCCGCAUUGACAAAUUCUCUUGUAUGGAGAUGGGGAGGGGAAUAUACUUUUUGUUUCCAGAGCAGAUUUUGCAGUGGGCCAGUGGGCUGUCUCGGACUGACUUACUGAGUACAGAAUGGACUCCUGUUAUUCCAGUCGUGGCCUUGAUGGAUCACAGAGCACAAUACACCUUGUCAUGAUUUUAAUGCUUCUGUGAGUUAUUUCAUUUUUGUGUGUGCGGCUUGUCACUGUACUGUUAAGUUUGCUUUCUAGGAUCCUUUUCUUGCCAGAUUGGCUGUGAGUCAAGCUGGUUGAUGAAGCUUAAUUUUUGCUAAAUCUCCAGAAUGGCUUGUUAAUCCUUAUUUUACAUUUCACUGAGUGCUGUACCAUGCAGACUCCUUCUGUUCCCCAAGGAAGAGAAAAUGGCUCUGUGAAGAAAUAAUGUGGUGAAUUUAGAGUCUACCCUGAGGAGUCACCAUUUGCUUGAAAUUGGCAAGCGGAGCACAAAAUCUGAACCCUGAUUUUCCCAGGCCUGUUCUGAGUCAACACCCAGAGGGCCUCUGGCAUUGUUUUCAAGUGCCUUUAUCAAUUCGAAGAUGAUUCUCGUUUACACGUUUCUUGCUACUCCCUUUAUUUUCUUUGAUGUGACACCUUUUUAAACUACAUUUCUUCUAAAGAGUUGAUUUGCAAAAGAAGAAUUUCUGUGGAGAAUAGAAUUCAUCUCACUGCGUUUUUCAGCACUUUUAUUUUCUUUCAGCUGUGUUUGGGCCACUCUGUCCAUUUCACCUAAAAUAAAGGGUUGAUGAAGGGAAAAUGGAUGUAAUUCUGCAACUCUGCCUGCUCAUUAAUAAUGACUGCCAACCCUUAGCACACAUCUGGGUCCCUUAAAUUCUAUAAAGAGGUCUUGGGGAAGAAAAGCUUUCAGGUAAUCUAAAUAGAAUCACCCAUAAUAUCCCCCCAGCUACUUCUUACAAAGAGCUGAGGGAAGAAAGAUGCCCUCAGGUAAUGACUGAAGUAGAGAAAAAACAAAACAAAACAAAAACCCCCCAAAACUCCUAAAAACCUAAGUAUUAUGCUAACUAAUUGCAAAACUUCACCCACAAAGAAAAAGUCCCUUUCUUUUUCUUGAAGUAUCUUCAAAUACAUAGUUAACUAAAAUCAUUGAGUAUUUUUUUGAGAACAGUGAAAAUAUGCUCUUUGUGAAGUUGGUUUUCUUAUGGGCUACAUGCCUUGACAUAGUUUUGAAGUUCUCCUUAAAUUAAUUGUUGAGUAUUUGAACUUGAUUUUGUGUAAACUGCUACUGCUGCUUAAUGUAGCGUCCACAGCAUAGUAAGUGCAUUUUCUUUGCUUGAUAAGGUUUCUAAUUUUAAGCUCACAGUGAGAGAAAGGACUACUGAUGCUUCUGGAAAGGUGGGGUAGAUGUAUUUUCUCUGUUCUUCCACAAAGCACAACUAAAAACCCCAGACCUUCCCUAAAACAAACAUAAGAAGAUUGGGAAAGGUGGAGAAAAGAAGGCAGAUCUUCUGUAGACCUCAGGACCCAAGGAGUGACACAGUGAUUCGUUCUGGGGGUUUUCUUUUGACUUCGUGUAUCUCAAAUUUGGAGAAGCUGGCAAUCAGGAAACACUCACAGGAACAGAUAAAACAACAAAGACAGCAACAGAAGCCUUUCUUCUUUAGCUAAAGGACCAGAAAAGGGAGCCCCUCACAAGACAGAAAAUGUGUCAACAACCAGUGUCCUCCAGCCAAACAUCAUAAAAAAAAAAAAAAAAAAAA